rnacentral:lncRNA from 1 species
GUAGACAUGGUCUCUCAGCAUCUCUCCAGCACUGCUUGUUUCUGACAUGCUACUGAUAAGCACUGCAGUGUGAGUGAUGAACAGAGGGCAUUGCUGUGACAAGCUGAAAGAACUCAGGUGGGACCUCUCUGCUUCAUGGACACAUUUUAUGGCAUCUGGAAAGGUGAGUACUCACAGCUGAGGUAGAGGAGCAGGGAGAGUCUGCAGCAGACAAUGGGGAAACUGAGAUAGGGUAUGGGGUCUGUAUAUACUUUUACACUUGACUUAGCCAAAAGGCUGAGAAGCGAUGUGUAUGUACUUUUAAAAUGACUGUUUCAGUCUUAUUUAUCUUACAUGUAACAGUGCUUUGUUGGCCUGUAUGCUAGAAUGUAUGUAUGUAUGUAUGUAUGUAUGUAUACUACAGGCAUGAUUAGUAUUAGAAGAGCUUAGACAAGUAUAUUGGAUCCCUGGAAUUGGAAUUAGGGGUGGGUGUGUAAGCCACCAUAUGGGUGCUUGGAAUGAAACCCCAGUCCUCUGCAAGAGCAAUAAAUGCUCUCAAUGGUUGAGCCAAAUCUUCAGCCCCUAUAUAUCAUGAUGAAGAAUGCAAGAUUAUAUAGUUUUCAAAAUUCACAGAAUUGAAUUAAUUUUACUGGAUGUAAAUUAUACUUUUUACAGAGUUUUCACUGACUUUAACCCUUUCAUUUCACUCAUUUUCACACACCUAACAUACCAGGAAGCUUCUAUUACAUUAACAAGCAGGAAAAGAAUCCUUAGGAUUAGAAAGAAAGCUUUAAGGCACUGAACUGUUUCCUUUGGAUCCACACAGAACUCCCUGGCUUCAUUCUUUCUAGUUCUACAGAAUAUAAAAAGAUAGUAUAAUAAAUUCUACUGUGCUCAUUUCGAGCCUCAGCACCUCUCAGCCAUGUGUUGCUGUGAGCAAUCGAGCUUCCCCUGGGAGCACUCCUCAGCCCUCCUCACACUCCUAUAGAAAGUAAAUCUUGGGAGAUUUCUAAACCCCUUCAUAUUGGAGUGGUUUGGUUUCAUUGUGAUUUCUAGUUCUGCACUGUGAUUUCAAAAAUCUUUCCAAUCCAAGAAAAGAGUGGAAACUCCUGUCUGCUUUUAGCUGACAAACCCCUCUACAACUGAUGAACAAUGUUGCCUUUCAGUGCCUGACUAAUUUGUCUCAGCAUGUCACCCAGAUCCACCCAUGUUGUCACAAAAGACAUCCUAUCUUACUAGUGCAUAGUAUUCCAGUAUAUAUGGGAGUAAGUAUCACAGUUUUUCCACACUCAUCCACUGAUAGAUGCUGAUGUCUGUUUGGUUGGAGCCUUUGACUUGGCGCACACUGCGUACCUCCCACAACCCCAGCCCUGGCACC